CGGAAAGUAGCGCAGUUGGUAGCGUACUACGUUCGGGACGUAGGGGUCGGGAGUUCGAGUCUCCUCUUUCCGA
rnacentral:tRNA from 1 species